AGUCCUACGGGGGGCAGCAGUGGGGAAUAUUGGGCAAUGGGCGCAAGCCUGACCCAGCAACGCCGCGUGAAGGAAGAAGGCUUUCGGGUUGUAAACUUCUUUUGUCAGGGACGAAGCAAGUGACGGUACCUGACGAAUAAGCCACGGCUAACUACGUGCCAGCAGCCGCGGUAAUACGUAGGAUGCGAGCGUUAUCCGGAUUUAUUGGGUUUAAAGGGUGCGCAGGCGGACCAUCAAGUCAGCGGUAAAAUCGUGGGGCCCAACCCCAUCCCGCCGUUGAAACUGGCGGUCUUGAGUGAGCGAGG
rnacentral:rRNA from 1 species